rnacentral:rRNA from 1 species
UACGAAGGGGGCUAGCGUUGCUCGGAAUCACUGGGCGUAAAGGGUGCGUAGGCGGGGCUUUAAGUCAGGGGUGAAAUCCUGGAGCUCAACUCCAGAACUGCCUUUGAUACUGGCAAUCUUGAGUCCGGAAGAGGUGAGUGGAACUCCUAGUGUAGAGGUGGAAUUCGUAGAUAUUAGGAAGAACACCAGUGGCGAAGGCGGCUCACUGGUCCGGUACUGACGCUGAGGUGCGAAAGCGUGGGGAGCAAACAGG